UACGGGGGGGGCAAGCGUUGUUCGGAAUUACUGGGCGUAAAGGGCUCGUAGGCGGCCAUCUAAGUCGGACGUGAAAUCCCUCGGCUUAACCGGGGAACUGCGUCUGAUACUGGAUGGCUUGAGUUUGGGAGAGGGAUGCGGAAUUCCAGGUGUAGCGGUGAAAUGCGUAGAUAUCUGGAGGAACACCGGUGGCGAAGGCGGCAUCCUGGACCAACACUGACACUGAGGAGCGAAAGCCAGGGGAGCAAACGGG
rnacentral:rRNA from 1 species